GUGCUCACGUCAGUAACAUAUAUACCAAAAUUGGAACAACACAGAGAUGAUUAGCAUGGCCCCUGCACAGGAGUGACACACAAAUUUGUGAAGCAUUCCAUAUUUGU
ensembl:snRNA U6 U6 spliceosomal RNA